CCUACGGGCGGCAGCAGUGAGGAAUAUUGGUCAAUGGGCGCGAGUCUGAACCAGCCAAGUAGCGUGAGGGAUGACGGCCCUAUGGGUUGUAAACCUCUUUUAUAGGGGAGUAAAAGACGCCACGUGUGGCGUUUUGAAAGUACCCCAUGAAAAAGGAUCGGCUAACUCCGUGCCAGCAGCCGCGGUAAUACGGAGGGUGCGAGCGUUAUCCGGAUUUAUUGGGUUUAAAGGGUGCGCAGGCCGAAAGUUAAGGCCGUCGUGAAAUUUGGGGGCUCAACCCUUUUCAAGCAGUUGAAACUGGUUGUCUUGAGUGCGCGAGAGGUAUGCGGAAUGCGUGGUGUAGCGGUGAAAUGCUUAGAUAUCACGAAGAACUCCGAUUGCGAAGGCAGCAUACCGGAGCUCAACUGACGCUGAGGCACGAAAGUGUGGGUAUCGAACAGGAUUAGAUACCCUUGUAGUC
rnacentral:rRNA from 1 species